rnacentral:rRNA from 1 species
CGUUACAUUAGGAUUCACGUCGAUGCACCUGAUCCUGUCUGAUCUCGGAAGCUAAGCAGGGUCAGGCCUGGUUAGUACUUGGAUGGGAGACCACCUGGGAAUACUGGGUGCUGUAGGAG